CAAGCGUUGUUCGGAAUUACUGGGCGUAAAGCGCGCGUAGGCGGCUUUUCAAGUCAGACGUGAAAUCCUUAGGCUUAACCUGAGAACUGCGUUUGAUACUGGAAGGCUUGAAUCCGGGAGAGGGAUGCGGAAUUCCAGGUGUAGCGGUGAAAUGCGUAGAUAUCUGGAGGAACACCGGUGGCGAAGGCGGCAUCCUGGACCAACACUGACGCUGAGUGAGCGAAAGCCAGGGGAGCAAACGGG
rnacentral:rRNA from 1 species